rnacentral:tRNA from 1 species
GAGGAUAUAGCUCAGUGGUAGAGUGUGCGCUUAGCAUGCACGAGGUCUUGGGUUGGAUCCUCAGUAACUCCA